rnacentral:rRNA from 1 species
UACGAAGGGGGCUAGCGUUGCUCGGAAUGACUGGGCGUAAAGGGCGCGUAGGCGGCUUGUAUAGUCGGAUGUGAAAUCCCCAGGCUUAACCUGGGAAGUGCGCGGAAAACUGGCGAGCUUGAGUGCCGGAGAGGGUCGCGGAAUUCCCGGUGGUAGAGGUGAAAUUCGUAGAUAUCAGGAAGAACACCCGUGGCGAAGGCGGCUCUCUGGGACGGUACUGACGCUGAGACGCGAAAGCGUGGGGAGCGAACAGG